GGAUGUGAGGGUGAUCUGGCUAUGACAUCUGUCACCCCAUUGAUCUCUAGGUUUGAUUCAGCUCAUCUGGCUGGCUAGGCAGGUGUCCCCUUCCUCCCUCAACCAUCGAUGUGUAUCCCGCCCGAAGCUGCAUGCUCGAUUGAAGAGGAUGACCACCCCCGAUAGAGGAGGACCAUUCCUCGGUCAAGGGUAUGCGAGCAGCUGCACUCCCUGGCUAGACCCUCCAAACAAGCUCUCAAGAAAGAAAUUGAGGGACCAGGGAGAUGGCUCAGUAGAAUAAAUGCUUCCCUGGCAAGCGCAAGGGCCUGAGUUCAAUC
rnacentral:snRNA from 1 species